rnacentral:rRNA from 1 species
UACGAAGGGGGCUAGCGUUGCUCGGAAUCACCGGGCGUAAAGGGUGCGUAGGCGGGUCUUUAAGUCAGGGGUGAAAUCCUGGAGCUCAACUCCAGAACUGCCUUUGAUACUGAGGAUCUUGAGUUCGGGAGAGGUGAGUGGAACUGCGAGUGUAGAGGUGAAAUUCGUAGAUAUUCGCAAGAACACCAGUGGCGAAGGCGGCUCACUGGCCCGAUACUGACGCUGAGGCACGAAAGCGUGGGGAGCAAACAGG